rnacentral:rRNA from 1 species
CGGACCUUUCGGGGUUAGUGGCGGACGGGUGAGUAACACGUGGGAACGUGCCUUUUGGUUCGGAAUAGCUCCUGGAAACGGGUGGUAAUGCCGAAUGUGCCCUUCGGGGGAAAGAUUUAUCGCCAUUAGAGCGGCCCGCGUCUGAUUAGCUAGUUGGUGAGGUAAAGGCUCACCAAGGCUACGAUCAGUAGCUGGUCUGAGAGGAUGACCAGCCACAUUGGGACUGAGACACGGCCCAAACUCCUACGGGAGGCAGCAGUGGGGAAUCUUGCGCAAUGGGCGAAAGCCUGACGCAGCCAUGCCGCGUGAAUGAUGAAGGUCUUAGGAUUGUAAAAUUCUUUCACCGGGGACGAUAAUGACGGUACCCGGAGAAGAAGCCCCGGCUAACUUCGUGCCAGCAGCCGCGGUAAUACGAAGGGGGCUAGCGUUGCUCGGAAUUACUGGGCGUAAAGGGAGCGUAGGCGGACAUUUAAGUCAGGGGUGAAAUCCCAGAGCUCAACUCUGGAACUGCCUUUGAUACUGGAUGUCUUGAGUGUGAGAGAGGUAUGUGGAACUCCGAGUGUAGAGGUGAAAUUCGUAGAUAUUCGGAAGAACACCAGUGGCGAAGGCGACAUACUGGCUCAUUACUGACGCUGAGGCUCGAAAGCGUGGGGAGCAAACAGGAUUAGAUACCCUGGUAGUCCACGCCG